AAAGAAGAGUUCUUUACGCUAGGUUCGGGGCAGGUGUGGUCCAUUCUGGCAGGGGAAGUGCGUCAGCAAGGGUGGGAGGCAGCCGGUCACGUGACAUCGUCAGUCAUGCUUUCUCUUUUUGAUUCAGUCCAGGACCCCAGCCUACAGGCUGCUGCUGCUGCUCGUGGGAUAUGUGGGUCUUCCUACCUCUUCCUUUUUUGGGGGGGGUUCUUUUUUUCGGAGCUGGGGACCGAAAGCGCUCUACCACUGAGCUAAAUCCCCAGCCCCUUCCUACCUCUUCCUAAUGGGAAAGAAAUAUUGUCCAAAGGUUGUCUCCUAGGUGAUUCUGGAGCGGGUCGCGUCAACAAUCAAUUUGAACCGCCGUAUCACUUCAUGCCCUGCCCGGAUGGACACCUGCCUUUCGCUAAUGGUUUGGUUUGGUUUGUUUUUUUACAUUUCCUGGCUAGAACUAAAACUGUUCAGGGACAGACAGGAGGCAAAAGAAGUUUUCUUCCCCACCCCCAACCCCCCCCCCCCGACAAGAAGUCUAAGACUUGGAUCGAUUAGAUGGGAUGUUCAAGAGCACAGAGCAAAGUAGGCAAGGUCAAGAGUAGACUCAUGCCAUUAGAUUUGUUUUCUUUCCUAGCUGAAAACAAGUACUUUUUUUUUUUUGGUUCUUUUUUCGGAGCUGGGGACUGAACCCAGGGCCCUGCGCUUCCUAGGUAAGCGCUCUACCACUGAGCUAAAUCCCCAGCCCCGAAAACAAGUACUCUUAAUGACUGAACACUCAUUCAGAACUCAGCUCACCCAUUACCUACUGACUCUCAACCUAAAUAUUUCCCCAGUGACGUAGGACCUUUUCACCCUGUCGUAAUUCCCACUACUGUCCUUCCUUAUAGACACUUUUCUUUGUUCCCAGAUUCCUAGAGUGGGGACCGGCUCACUCAUCACUGGGCGUCCAUCUUCCUGACUACUUCAUAGCAGGGAUCUGUCCUGCUGGUUUUUAUUGUCAAUUUGAGUUGUCUAGAAAGAGGGAACCUCAUUUGAGGGGUUGGCCUGUGGAGAUGUCUUUAGGGAAUUGUCCAGAUUGAUGAUUGACAUGUGAGGGCCCAACCUACUGUGGGUGGCACCAUCCCCUAGGCAGUGGGGUCUAAGCAUAUAAAAAAAGCAAACUGAGCAUGAGCCCGAGAGUGAGCCCCUCUGCAGCCUUCUUCCAUGGAUUUUGCUUGAGUGAUGGGCUGUGACCGGAAGUAAAAGCACACAAAUCCUUUCCUCACCACAUUGCUUUUGGUCAUGAUGUUUAUCAACAGGAAAGUAAAACAGAGCAAUACUCCACGUCAUCUGUUGGAUGAAUGAAUGAACCAUUUGCCAGGCAUAGGCUAUUUUCUCUUGCAGUUAUGAGUCGGACUCAGAGCACUCAAGUGAUUCCAUAUGGUUCCCUGCUAGCCAUGACUAUUAAAUCUGGUCUCUGCUAGCCAUGACUGUUUGUUAAAUCAGUCAAGCAAUAGUAGCAGAGUCUCAGAUUCUAACUGGGCAUUGGGCUUCCCAGAUAAAGACUACCUUCCCCCGCAACCCUUUACAGAGAAGUGGAGUCAUGUGAUUAAACUUUGGCUAAUAAUAAGAUAAAAACACAGUUAAUCUAUGCAUAUUCUGAGACGUGUCCUUGAAGGUAGGCUGGAGUUUCUGCUUGUUUCUUCUUUGCACAGGUUAGAAUGCAGAUUUGGCCAGCUAUCCUGUAUAAGACGAACUAACAGUUCAUCAUGGUCAUAAGCCUAAAUUCCGGACAUGGUAAAUUCUCAUACCAUUCUCCAGUCACCAUCUGAGUCUUUGGGAGAUAGUCAAACACUUCCUGUUCCUGUUAGUUUGGAUCUUCGAGUCAAAACAACUCAGAGUCACCAGGAAGAGGACAUCUCAACUGAAGAAUUGCGUGGAUCAGAUUGGCCUAUGUAGAACUCAGCUCCUCCUGCACCAUGCCUGCCUGGAUUCUGCGAUGCUGCCAUGUUCCCGCCUUGAUGAUAAUGGACCGAACCUCUGAACCUGGAUGGCAUCUAAGGGAAACUACAUGGGCUGACAUCUAAAGUCUUUUGGACUGUGAAAGAUCAGAUGGCUUCGAGGAUGGUGAGGAUGACAGGGACAUGGUAAAGCAGCUGUCAUCGAGCGCUAGGGGUAGAAUCCCCAUGACAGACACCCCGGCGUUCCUCAAGCUUCGCUCAACUUUAUGGUAUUUUCCCCCACCACGCACAAUUUACCGCCUUACCUCUCUCGAACAUGACUCUUAAUGGCAUCAGAUGCUUCCAGAACACGGCUGCCAUCACCGUCCGCCUCUAUAAUGUUCUUCGUCUUGUAGAACUGGAACUCUAAACAUUUUGCAAUCAUUCUCCAGGCCCCCUUCCCCCAGCCCCUGGCAACCAACACUUGACUUUCUGCCUUUAUGUUUUGAUUGCCCCAGGUGCCUCACAUAAAUGGGAUUAUAGACUCUC